GUGGUCGCUUCACAGCACAGGUACUAAAACUGGAACGAUAUGGAGAUUAGCAUGGUGCCUGCACAAGGAUGACAUGCAAAUUCAUGAAGGUUUCUGUAUUUUU
ensembl:snRNA U6 U6 spliceosomal RNA